rnacentral:rRNA from 1 species
GACGAACGCUGGCGGCGUGCUUAACACAUGCAAGUCGAACGAGUGGCGAACGGGUGAGUAUUACGCGGGUAACCUUCCCUCUUUAUGGGAUAAGCCUUGGAAACGGGGUCUAAUACCGAAUAUAGGGGGAUGGGCUCGCGGCCUAUCAGCUUGUUGGUGGGGUGAUGGCCUACCAAGGCGGUGACGGGUAGCCGGCCUGAGAGGGUGACCGGCCACAUGGGGACGGGUGUACGGCCCAGACUGCUACGGGAGGCAGCAGUGGGGGAUAGGGCGCAAUGGGCGAACGCCUGAGGCGGGGACGCGGCGUGGGGGUUGGAGGCUUUAGGGUUGUAAACCUCUUUCGAUAGCGAACGGGUAGGUGGAGAAGAAGCGCCGGCUAACUACGUGCCAGCCGCCGCGGUAAUAC